UGCCAGCAGCCGCGGUAAUACGGAGGGUGCGAGCGUUAAUCGGAUUUAACUGGGUGUAAAGGGCGCGUAGGCGGGGUUUGUAAGUCAGAGGUGAAAUCCUGCGGCUCAACCGUAGAACUGCUUUUGAAACUAACAAACCUUGAGUUUGGAAGAGAGAGAUGGAAUUCCAGGUGUAGUGGUGAAAUACGUAGAUAUCUGGAAGAACACCAGUGGCGAAGGCGAUCUCUUGGUCCAUAACUGACGCGGAGGCGCGAAGCGUGGGGAGCAAACAGGAUUAGAUA
rnacentral:rRNA from 1 species